CUCCAUGUGGAAAUCCAUCUUUAUCGCUGGUCGGAAACGUGCCACGCUUCAUCCCUCCGGUUACCCAGGAAUCGUGGGAGCUGCAACAGGUGGAAAGCCUCCAACAGCUCGACGUGGGGGCUCAAUGGGCUGGUGUGACCCGGCUGUACGGACGUUGAGACUUUCGGAUCCGGUAUGAGACUUGCAGGUGCUUCCUACUUGCUGAUAUGUGUAACCUGUUCAACUUCUUCCGGAGUGGUUCAGAUUGGGUGGAUGCACUAGGGAUAUCACACUGGAUGGCAGCCUCUCUUUGACAGUGAUGAGAA